rnacentral:rRNA from 1 species
UACGGAGGAUGCAAGCGUUAUCCGGAUUCACUGGGUUUAAAGGGUGCGCGGGCGGACAUUUAAGUCAGGGGUGAAAUCCUACAGCUUAACUGUAGAACUGCCCUUGAUACUGAAUGCCUAGAGUAAAGCUGAAGUGGGCGGAAUGUGUUGUGUAGCGGUGAAAUGAUUAGAUAUAACACAGAACACCGAUCGCGAAGGCAGAUCACUAAACUUUAACUGACGCUCAUGCACGAAAGCGUGGGGAGCAAACGGGAUUAGAUACCCUGGUAGUCCACGCCCUAACCGAUGAUCACUCGCUGUUGGCGAUAUAUUGUCAGUGGCUAAGCAAAAGUGAUAAGUGAUCCACCUGGGGAGUACGACCGCAAGGUUGAA